UCACACACGUGUAAGUUGUCUGUUGAACCGGGAUUGGCCCAUAAUCUAGUGGCGAUGUCAGAAAUCGUGCCUUAAAUUCAGCUUUUUAGAUGAGCACAGAGAAACUCUCCACUUUCAGCAGGUGAAUUUAAGAAACAGUCUUCUAGUGUAGAAUCUGCCCGCACACCAUUCUGUGCAGUGAAGAUCAAACAUCCAAGAGAGAAAUGCAAGGCCCACGCCUUAGACCAAAGUUCCAGGAUUGGCUGGAUUACCCACCGCGCAGAGCGGGAAACUGCCCCGGACUCUCAGAGGCACCGAAGAAACCAGGUUCACUGUGUGUCACUUUCACCCUGCAGCCCGGGUGUGAGUACCCCACCCUGUGAGGACACUGAAAAGGAGCAACAGAGGACAGAACUCUUCUCAUCAUGUAUUCAUUACUGGACGGUAGAUGAUGGAAAUUUUCAAUGGCCCCUGUCCCUGUCCUCUGCGCAGUUGGUGUGGUUCAUGAUUAUGUAGCACCCAGAAGGGCACUGAGUUCUCUGAAGUUGUUGGUCCUUUUUGGAUCACUGUGUCUGGAAGAUAAAGCCAUGUGAUAACUCACUCAUACAAAUAAAUU